rnacentral:rRNA from 1 species
GAUGAACGCUGGCGGCGUGCCUAAUACAUGCAAGUCGAGCGAACGGACGAGAAGCUUGCUUCUCUGAUGUUAGCGGCGGACGGGUGAGUAACACGUGGAUAACCUACCUAUAAGACUGGGAUAACUUCGGGAAACCGGAGCUAAUACCGGAUAAUAUUUUGAACCGCAUGGUUCAAAAGUGAAAGACGGUCUUGCUGUCACUUAUAGAUGGAUCCGCGCUGCAUUAGCUAGUUGGUAAGGUAACGGCUUACCAAGGCAACGAUGCAUAGCCGACCUGAGAGGGUGGUCGGCCACACUGGAACUGAGACACGGUCCAGACUCCUACGGGAGGCAGCAGUAGGGAAUCUUCCGCAGUGGGCGAGAGCCUGACGCAGCAACGCCGCGUGAGUGAUGAAGGUCUUCGGAUCGUAAAGCUCUGUUAUUAGUGAAGAACAUAUGUGUAAGUAACUGUGCACAUCUUGACGGUACCUAAUCAGAAAGCCACGGCUAACUACGUG